UACGGAAGGUCCGGGCGUUAUCCGGAUUUAUUGGGUUUAAAGGGAGCGCAGGCGGGAUUUCAAGCGUGCCGUCAAAUUUCGGGGCUCAACCCCGUUUCGCGGCGCGAACUGUUGUCCUUGGUUUCGGGAGAGGGAGGCGGAACUCGUGGUGUAGCGGUGAAAUGCAUAGAUAUCACGAGGAACUCCGAUUGCGAAGGCAGCCUCCCGGCCCGCGAACGACGCUCAUGCUCGAAGGCGCGGGUAUCGAACAGG
rnacentral:rRNA from 1 species